rnacentral:rRNA from 1 species
GGAGGAUGCGAGCGUUAUCCGGAAUUAUUGGGCGUAAAGAGUUCGUAGGCUGUUUGCUAAGUUGGAUGUUAAAUUUUUAAGCUCAACUUAAAAAAUGUAUCCGAUACUGGCAAACUAGAGUCAAACAGGGGUGGAUGGAAUUCUGCAUGUAGGGGUAAUAUCCGUAGAUAUGCAGAGGAACACCAAAAGCGAAGGCAGUCCACUGGGUUUGUACUGACGCUCAAGAACGAGAGCGUGGGGAGCGAACGGGGAUUAGAUACCCCGGUAGUCCACGCUGUAAACAAUGAACACUAGGUGUUGGAGGUCUCGACCCCCUUCAGUGCCCGUCGCUAACGCAUUAAGUGUUCCGCCUGGGUAGUACGAUCGCAAGAUUA